AUUGACGCCGCGUGAAGGAUGAAGGUCUUCGGAUUGUAAACUUCUGUCAUUAAGGAACAAACAUCUGUAUAACUAACAGAAAACUGAUAGUACUUAAAGAGGAAGAGACGGCUAACUCUGUGCCAGCAGCCGCGGUAAUACAGAGGUCUCAACCGUUGUUCGGAUUUAUUGGGCGUAAAGGGUGCGUAGGUGGUUUUGUAAGUCGGAUGUGAAAUUCUAGGGCUCAACCUUGGAACUGCAUUCGAUACUGCAUAGCUUGAGCGCUGGAAAGGAGACUGGAAUUUACGGUGUAGCAGUGAAAUGCGUAGAUAUCGUAAGGAAGAUCAGUGGCGAAGGCGAGUCUCUGGACAGAUGCUGACGCUGAGGCACGAAGGCCAAGGGAGCAAACGGGAUUAGAUACCCCGGUAGUCUUGGCAGUAAACGGUGCAUGUUUGGUGUAGGCGGAUUCGACCCUGUCUGCGCCGCAGCUAACGCGCUAAACAUGCCGCCUGGGAAGUACGAUCGCAAGAUUAAAACUCAAAGAAAUUGACGGGGCGCCGCACAAGCGAUGGAGUAUGUGGCUUAAUUCGAUGCAACGCGAAGAACCUUACCAGGGUUUGAUAUGCACUGUGUUGGAGAU
rnacentral:rRNA from 1 species